rnacentral:sRNA from 1 species
GCUGGGUGAGGUGGCACAUACCUGUAAACCCAAUGAUUUUGGAGGCUGAGGCAGGAGGAUCAUCAGUUUGAGGCCAUCCUAGGCAACUUAAUGAGACCCUGUCUCAA